AGCUCAGUGGUCGAGCGUUGGCUUUGAAAGCCACAGAUCGGUGGUUCAAAUCCACC
rnacentral:tRNA from 1 species